rnacentral:rRNA from 1 species
CCUACGGGAGGCAGCAGUGGGGAAGUUUUGGUACAAUGGGCGGCAAGCCUGAUCCAGCAAUGCCGCGUGAGUGAAGAAGGCCUUCGGGUUGUAAAGCUCUUUUGUCAGGGAAGAAACGGUCUACUCUAAUACAGUGGGCUAAUGACGGUACCUGAAGAAUAAGCACCGGCUAACUACGUGCCAGCAGCCGCGGUAAUACGUAGGGUGCAAGCGUUAAUCGGAAUUACUGGGCGUAAAGCGUGCGCAGGCGGUUAUAUAAGUCAGAUGUGAAAUCCCCGGGCUCAACCUGGGAACUGCAUUUGAGACUGUAUGGCUAGAGUGUGUCAGAGGGGGGUAGAAUUCCACGUGUAGCAGUGAAAUGCGUAGAUAUGUGGAGGAAUACCGAUGGCGAAGGCAGCCCCCUGGGAUAACACUGACGCUCAUGCACGAAAGCGUGGGGAGCAAACAGGAUUAGAUACCCUGGUAGUCCACGCCCUAAACGAUGUCUACUAGUUGUCGGGACUUAAUUGUNUGUAGCNGNACGACGUGAGUAGACGCCGCGGNGGUACGGUCGCGAGAGUAAACGUAACGAAGAAGUAGUAGCGUGAGAGAGCGACGGACGACGACGAGGGAGGAGG